rnacentral:lncRNA from 1 species
UAGCUUGUCUUCUUCCCCAAUUAUCCUCUUCUUCUCCACUCCUUUCUCUUCUCCUUCCCCAAAGCCCUACUCUAAUUUUUCUAAAACCCUAUUCUCUUCCUCCUAAUCUCUCUCCCUAUCUCUCUCUGUUUCUCUACCUCUCCUUCUCUUUCACAAACUCACCUCCAAAUCACCCCAAAUCAUCCGGUACAUAACAAUUAGGGCUGACAAACGAGCGAGCCGGCUCGCGUUCGACUCGUGUUCGGCUCAAUAUUUGGCUCGCUCGAGCUCGACUUGAAAUUGAAUGAGCCGAGCUUGAACAAAAUAAAAGGCUCGAAAUUCAUUUCAAGCCGAGCUUGGGUAUUACUCGGUUCGUUCGAAUUAAGCUCGAAAAGCUCGAAAAGCUCGAAUAUAUAUAUAUAUAUAUAUAUAUAUAUAUAUAUAUAUAUAUAUAUAUAUAUAGGCUUUAAUUUAAUUUAGAUCAUUAUUGUUGGUCCAUAAAAUAAACCCAACAAGCACAACCGUGCAAUUGAACUCAACUCUAAAUUUACAUAACACACUCUCUCUUUCAGACUUUCACUAUUGCACGUAAUCCUAAAAUAUGAUAACAUUCAACUUCCCAAAUCCCUAAUUUUUUUUCCCUCUCUCUCUCUCUCUCUCGUUCUCCCUCAGACCCUCACCCAGUCAGGCACUCACCCUAGCUCAUAUUUCUUGCAAUUUAUUUUGUAUUUUGAACUAUUGGACAUGUUGUAUCAAAUUGUAGGUAAUGUUUUAUAAAAAUUAAACUAUUGAUUAUAUAAUGUCGAGAAUUUCAAUCGGCUCGUUUAGAGCUCGAGCUCGGCUCGACUCGAAAUUAGGCUCGCUCGAGCUCGGCUCGAAUUAAUUUCAAGCCGAGCUUGAGCCUAGAUUUAAGCUCGAAAUUAAUUUCAAGCCGAAUUUGAGCUGACAUAAGCUCGCUCGAGCUCGGCUCGUUUCCACCCCUA